GUGUUCACUUUGGCAGUACAUAUACUAAAAUUGGACAAUACAGAGAAGAUUAGCAUAGCUCCUGCACGAGGAUGACAUACAAACUUAUGAGACAUUCUGUAUUUUU